AUCUGCUGUGGACAGAUGAAAUGGAUAUGCACAUCCAGGCCACCGGCGGUGAUGAUCUUCCCUUCGCCCGCGAUGGCUUCUGUCGAGACGCCGAUGAUAAUAUCCACAUCCGGCUGCACAUCCGGGUUGCCGGCCUUGCCGAUCCCCGUGAUGCGCCCGUCCGUAAUACCGAUGUCGGCCUUGACUACGCCCCAGUGAUCCAGGAUCAGGGCAUUGGUGAUGACGGUAUCGACGGCGCCCUGCGCCCGGCCCAAUUGGGAUUGCCCCAUGCCGUCGCG
rnacentral:sRNA from 1 species